rnacentral:lncRNA from 1 species
AGAUCAAUUAGCAUGCAAUCAAUGAAAACAGAUUAUCAGAAGAAAUUUCACACAAGAAUGAAUAAAUAAUAAUACUCAAUCAAUUACUUGUAACAAGGAUUCACCUCCCUUUAGAACUGAAUAAAAAGAACUAGCCUGACAUGCUUUUGAGUCUGCACUCCAAUAGAUGAUAGUUGAUAAUUGAAUGAAUAAAACCCUGACUCUCACCCUCUAUUUAUAGUGCUAGACAAAG